rnacentral:rRNA from 1 species
AUUGAACGCUGGCGGCAGGCUUAACACAUGCAAGUCGAGCGGGGGAAGGUAGCUUGCUACUGGACCUAGCUGCGGACGGGUGAGUAAUGCUUAGGAAUCUGCCUAUUAGUGGGGGACAACAUCUCGAAAGGGAUGCUAAUACCGCAUACGUCCUACGGGAUAACGCAGGGGAUCUUCGGACCUUGCGCUAAUAGAUGAGCCUAAGUCGGAUUAGCUAGUUGGUGGGGUAAAGGCCUACCAAGGCGACGAUCUGUAGCGGGUCUGAGAGGAUGAUCCGCCACACUGGGACUGAGACACGGCCCAGACUCCUACGGGAGGCAGCAGUGGGGAAUAUUGGACAAUGGGGGGAACCCUGAUCCAGCCAUGCCGCGUGUGUGAAGAAGGCCUUAUGGUUGUAAAGCACUUUAAGCGAGGAGGAGGCUACUUUAGUUAAUACCUAGAGAUAGUGGACGUUACUCGCAGAAUAAGCACCGGCUAACUCUGUGCCAGCCGCCGCGGUAA